UACGUAGGGGGCAAGCGUUGUCCGGAUUCAUUGGGCGUAAAGAGCGUGUAGGCGGCCAGGUAGGUCGGUUGUGAAAACUGGAGGCUUAACCUCCAGACGUCGACGGAAACCGCGUGGCUAGAGUCCGGAAGAGGAGAGUGGAAUUCCUGGUGUAGCGGUGAAAUGCGCAGAUAUCAGGAAGAACACCAAUGGCGAAGGCAGCUCUCUGGGCCACUACUGACGCUGAGAAGCGAAAGCGUGGGGAGCGAACAGG
rnacentral:rRNA from 1 species